AGACUUUGAUCCUGGCUCAGGACGAACGCUGGCGGCGUGCCUAAUACAUGCAAGUCGAGCGAAUCGAUGGGAGCUUGCUCCCUGAGAUUAGCGGCGGACGGGUGAGUAACACGUGGGCAACCUGCCUAUAAGACUGGGAUAACUUCGGGAAACCGGAGCUAAUACCGGAUACGUUCUUUUCUCGCAUGAGAGAAGAUGGAAAGACGGUUUUGCUGUCACUUAUAGAUGGGCCCGCGGCGCAUUAGCUAGUUGGUGAGGUAAUGGCUCACCAAGGCGACGAUGCGUAGCCGACCUGAGAGGGUGAUCGGCCACACUGGGACUGAGACACGGCCCAGACUCCUACGGGAGGCAGCAGUAGGGAAUCUUCCGCAAUGGACGAAAGUCUGACGGAGCAACGCCGCGUGAACGAAGAAGGCCUUCGGGUCGUAAAGUUCUGUUGUUAGGGAAGAACAAGUACCAGAGUAACUGCUGGUACCUUGACGGUACCUAACCAGAAAGCCACGGCUAACUACGUGCCAGCAGCCGCGGUAAUACGUAUGUGGCAAGCGUUGUCCGGAAUUAUUGGGCGUAAA
rnacentral:rRNA from 1 species